UUUCCGUAGGUGAACCAGCGGAGGGAUCAUUACAGGGUUUUCACAACUCCCAACCCUUGCGAACCGUACCCAUUCUGUUCUCGUUGCUUCCGGCGGGGGGGACGGGGGGGCCCGAAACGGCCUCCCCGCCCCGCCCGCCGGGGGCGGCGGGCCCUACGAACCUUUAUAUCUCAACCACCAGAAACCGUCUGAGAAAACAAACAAAAUAAUCAAAACUUUCAACAACGGAUCUCUUGGCUCUG
rnacentral:misc_RNA from 1 species